rnacentral:lncRNA from 1 species
CCUCUGGUUAUCUCAGUCACUGGAGGGGUGUUUGUUGAUAAAGUUCCUUUAGUGAAGCAGCACUGCUGGAAUUUUUCCUAUGUAGGUUUUCAUACGGCAUGAAGAAAACAUGCCAGGCAGGCUGGCUUUGUCAUUGUUGCAUAUUCUGAUACACUCAGCUGUGUCUUAAAAUACCUUUGACGUGUCUGAUGAUAAAUUAGAAAGUUCCUAAGCAACCUCUGGAAAUGGCUGGGUGCUUACUCUCUGAAGGUGGUGCAUGUGGUGGAGGAGCAAAAUGCAGUGGCUGGGAAAUUUCAGAGCAUGAGAAAAAGUCAAUUCAACCAUCAAAAGAGGGAACAUGAAAUGUGAGAAAUGUAACUUCCACACGAAAUCCUGGAAAAGAGCACACCCUACCCUUCCCAGUGUAGGUCUGAAGACUGCACACCUCGGUCUUCUGUCACAAUGGACUAGGUGCACCUCACAUUUCCCUCUGAAAUCCCCAAUGGUGAAGAUUUAGAGGAGAAUCCUUUUGUUACCCUCUGGUGUGUUUCACCUCCUGGACUCACUGUAACUUGUGGAGGCUGAAAUAAAUUGGAUUGUAGAUAAUCUGGGUAUCUUCCU